rnacentral:lncRNA from 1 species
CUCCCCUCCCACCCCAGCCUCUUGCAUUUCCUCAUUGUGAUGCGAGCUCUGCUUUUGAGAACUUCACCCUGGAAGAGCAAAGGCAGGCAGGCGACGGAGUGGACCAAUACCUACAAGGUCCUCUUGAGAGGAAGGCAGCAGUAAUUGACCCUGUAACUAACUGAAUGCAUCUGGACUGUUGAAGAUGGAGAAAAUCAUCUCCAUGAGCAGAGCUAAGAAGUUUAAAAGAUAAUCUGUCAUACCAUGAAUUCAUGGACUAUUCCUGACCACAGAUUUAGGAUGCUCUCUGAAUAUCCUUUACCGGAAGCUGGAAACUGGUCUUCCGUUCUGCACCUAUACACACUGCAUGACAAAGCUGUGCAAGAAUUUCCUUGCUGGGACAUCAUGCCAGAAAUAUUCGGUAUCCUUUUUCUCUUCCUUUUAAAAAUAACAGCAAUAAUGUUAGAGUUCUCUCGGGUCCCUCUUAGGUCUCAAAGGUUCUUUUCCUUUUUAACCACAAUAUAUCUGUGUGUCUGAAGGCUUCACAUCUCAUUUCACAUGGAGAGUAGUAUUCAGAGAAGGGCACAAUAUAUGUCAAAAUGUUUGUUGACUGAACAAAUGACUGAAUCUGCCUCUUAGUUCUGUAGCUGCGGUUUGUACAUAAAAACAAGUUUUAGACAACAAUAAAAUUACAGGCACUUGAUCCA